rnacentral:snRNA from 1 species
UAGUGUUACAGAUCUUUUAGAAAUUGUCUAGCAUGUUUUCUGGCUUGUACUGGAACCGCCCCC